rnacentral:rRNA from 1 species
GUGGGGAAUAUUGCACAAUGGAGGAAACUCUGAUGCAGCGACGCCGCGUGAGGGAAGAAGGUCUUCGGAUUGUAAACCUCUGUUGUCAGGGACGAUAAUGACGGUACCUGACGAGGAAGCCACGGCUAACUACGUGCCAGCAGCCGCGGUAAAACGUAGGUGGCAAGCGUUGUCCGGAAUUACUGGGUGUAAAGGGAGCGCAGGCGGAUUUGCAAGUUGGAAGUGAAACUCAUGGGCUCAACCCAUGAACUGCUUUCAAAACUGCAGAUCUUGAGUGGUGUAGAGGUAGGCGGAAUUCCCGGUGUAGCGGUGGAAUGCGUAGAUAUCGGGAGGAACACCAGUGGCGAAGGCGGCCUACUGGGCACUAACUGACGCUGAGGCUCGAAAGCAUGGGUAGCAAACAGGAUUAGAAACCCUAGUAGUCC